CAGUCGCCGCGGUAAUACGGAGGGGGCUAGCGUUGUUCGGAAUUACUGGGCGUAAAGCGUGCGUAGGCGGCUUCUUAAGUCGGAUGUGAAAUCCCUGAGCUUAACUUAGGAAUUGCAUUCGAUACUGGGAAGCUAGAGUAUGGGAGAGGAUGGUAGAAUUCCAGGUGUAGCGGUGAAAUGCGUAGAGAUCUGGAGGAAUACCGAUGGCGAAGGCAGCCAUCUGGCCUAAUACUGACGCUGAGGUACGAAAGCAUGGGGAGCAAACAGGAUUAGAUACCCCCGUAGUCCCUGUCUCUUAUAC
rnacentral:rRNA from 1 species